rnacentral:sRNA from 1 species
ACAGAGCAAGGCUCUGUCUCAAAAAAAAAAAAAAAGAAGAAGCCUUAAGGGAUAGGGGAGUUGCUGGCUCAGGUGGGAUACCUGGAAGUUCCCCUAGCCUUUACCUUGCCCUUCACCCCAGAGCUGAGCCCAUGAGGAUAGUUCGCCAGCCAACGCCUCCACCUGGGGACCUAGAACCCCCAUUCCAGCCAUCUGCUCUGCCUGCAGACCCUCUGGAGAGCCCACCAACAGCCCCAGAUCCUGCUCUGGAGCUCCCAUCCACCCCACCACCGUCCAGCCUUUUACGCCCCCGCCUCAGUCCCUGGGGCUUGGCCCCGCUCUUCCGUUCCGUCCGCUCCAAGCUGGAGAGCUUUGCUGACAUCUUCCUCACGCCCAACAAAACCCCACAGCCCCCACCCCCGUCCCCCCCAAUGAAGCUGGAGUUGAAGAUCGCCAUCUCAGAGGCCGAGCAGUCUGGGGCUGCUGAGGGCACUGCGUCUGUCAGCCCCCGGCCCCCAAUCCGCCAGUGGCGAACUCAGGACCACAAUACCCCAGCACCUCUCCCUAAGCCCUCUCUGGGCCGAAGCUACUCCUGCCCUGAUCUGGGGCCCCCUGGCCCAGGUACCUGCACCUGGCCACCUGCUCCACCCCAACCAAGCCGACCACGGCCGCGGCGGCACACUGUGGGUGGUGGGGAAAUGGCCCGAGCCCCGCCACCCCCUCGGCCCUGUCUCCGGAAAGAGGUCUUCCCUCUCGGAGGAGUGGGAGCCUCCCCUUCUCUCGCCACAUCUUGCUCGUCCACGGCAUCCACUUCCUCCUUCUCCGAACCAGCAGAACCCAGGUUGGGUUCAACCAAAGGGAAGGAGCCAAGAGCCUCAAAGGACCAGGUGCUUUCAGACCCUGAGACCAAGGUAGGCAUUCAGAUCGGGUAGAAGAGACUAGUGGGGGCCUGAGCCCAUGUCACUCUUUCACCCUCUGCCCCAUUUUUGCAGACCACGGGAAAGGUUUCUCGAUUCAGAAUACGCAGAACACCAGCCCGUCCUCAGCUAAACCUUACACCAAUGGGACUGCCUCGACCAAUCA